CUAUAAGAGCUAGUCCAUGCGAUAACUUCCUUGUUGAAGAAUCGGAAUACUAGUGCCAA
rnacentral:sRNA from 1 species